AUGGCGAAGGCCAAGGUAGUGAUGUUGGCUGAGGAUCUCCUGACAGUGGCACCCACCCUGACAAACCAAAGCAGGCAAACCAGACUUGGAAGAAGCCCACACAGGUCACCUCCAGAACCACAGGCAGUCACAAAAUUUGGGUAUCUUCAUCUCCCAUCAUGGCCACUACGGACUGUAAAUGGAGGUUUUAUUCCCCUGGACCUGUUAUUCUCAUUCACUAAACUGCAGAAAAUUCUCUCCAGAAAAUCAGAGGAGAUGUGGACCUUCUAAAGAGCCAGCCAUCAUCCCUUGGUUUAUGGAUUUUUGAGGCAAGCAGAAAAGACAUAAGGAGAGAGAGCUGUGGAAGGAAGAACACUGCACAUAGGACUCUGCAAGUUAUUAACAGAAAGGCUUGAGUAUCAGAGCAUCUUUUAAAAGCCUUGGGAGUUUGGAACCAAGGAAAAAGAAGUAGAGUUGACAACGCUGGGAGCUUGGAAAGAGGCUCCCAAAUUCUCAGGACUGUAUCAGUUCACCUCAAGAGGACCACUCUCAUCUGUCUCCAACAACUGAUACAGUAAAAUGCCCCAGUAUCUUGGCUCUGUAUCCACAGGAAGAAGAGAAAACAGUGGAAAGGGAAUCACUAUAAUAUUUCCAGAGCUGUAGAUAAUCUUAGAGCGACCACCAGCCCUGUCACAAUAGACACAUGAAUGCCACCCUUUGUAAUGGAAAGGGCCAUCUCCGUGACACUGAACAGGAUCAUCGUAGGGGGUAGAGCAUAUAGAUCCAAAUGUCAGAAGAGCAGAGCAAACUGUGUAGUUUCAUUAGGACACCCAAGAAAACAGGAGCCAGACCCAGGAGUUCUCAGGAGCAGAAUGUUAGAGCAGGCUGAGAAGGACAAAACAAGAUUUAUUUUUUUUAGCUCAAAACUAAAACAACAACAACAAUAAUAUAAUAAUAACAAUAGAAAGAAGAUUAUUCCCAACUAAAGGGGUAGGCAUCCUGGAAGGAUCACACUCAGCAGGGUAGAAUGACUGACUAUUCCUGACUGGAAGAGCAUACCAGUAUCUGGAGAUGGGAAAUGAGUCCUCUCCCCCCACUACUCUUGCAUGCCCAAGGACAGCUGGGGACAGCAAGAAUCUUAGGUAAAAGGACCUUCUAAAAGGAAAACACGACAGCCACAUUACUGUGCCCCCAGAUACUUCACUUAGUAAUUCCAUUUGUUUCAUUCUCAAAAUUGAGAAAUUCCUUUGUUUAAAAAAAAAAAAAGGAUAGAUAGAGGUUGGGUGCUGCCACCUCAAAUCAUGAAAUACAAGGCUCUUAGGAAAAAUGAGUGCAUUUUUAGCAUGCAAAGAACAUGAGAAUAACAUCUGUCCUUGGAGAAGUUAUAGAGUUCCAGCCUAGUGGCCCAUGCCUAUAAUUCCAGCACUAGGGAGGCAGAAACAGUAGGAUCGGGAGCUCGGGGUUAACCUAAACUUCAUAUUGAACUUGAGGCUACCUGGGCUACAUGGAACCCUGUAUCAACAAUGACAAAGGUCAAGAGGCACAAUAAACAAAAUAACAAAAUAAACA
rnacentral:lncRNA from 1 species